UCAGCGGUUGAAACGUCAUUUGAUUUGGCCCCAGGCCAACAAAUAAUUGCUUUUCAGUAACGUUUUUAUGUAAAUCAUGUAAACUGAUCAUUUGCGGAUGCAACCAUGUGAACUAUGAGAAUACCAAAAGCUUUGGAUAAUAUUAAAUGUGACUUAUCCGAAAGGAUUUGACUCCACGGAUAACGAUGGAUAAGCGCAUAGAGCUACAGAUCAUUCAUGUAAAUUAUGUGUAUUUAAACAGACUUGGAUAAUGCUAAUUAAAUGACUUAUGGAGUUGGGUGGAUAAGCCAAUAAGGCUAUCUUUUGUUUUCUCUGUUACAUAAAUUUAGAUUAUCCGUCUCUAUUUGCAUUUUCGAUAAACAAAUGCAACUUAUUUUUAUUCAUUCUCUGUUUCAUUGAUUGCGGUUGCUCUAUAAUUUCGGAUAAGAGGAUGACCCUUAUAUUUACACGCUGAAAUGAAAGAAAAAUAUAAGAAUUAAUAUUUAUCAGAAAAUCAAACCAGUUCCGGUUUCGGUACCUGUACAUCCCAAGUCGAAAGCUAUCUCU